rnacentral:rRNA from 1 species
GACGAACGCUGGCGGCGCGCCUAACACAUGCAAGUCGAACGAGCGAGCGAGAGCUUGCUUUCUUGAGCGAGUGGCGAACGGGUGAGUAACGCGUGAGGAACCUGCCUCAAAGAGGGGGACAACAGUUGGAAACGACUGCUAAUACCGCAUAAGCCCACGGUGCCGCAUGGCACAGAGGGAAAAGAAGCAAUCCGCUUUGAGAUGGCCUCGCGUCCGAUUAGCUAGUUGGUGAGGUAACGGCCCACCAAGGCGACGAUCGGUAGCCGGACUGAGAGGUUGAACGGCCACAUUGGGACUGAGACACGGCCCAGACUCCUACGGGAGGCAGCAGUGGGGAAUAUUGCACAAUGGGGGAAACCCUGAUGCAGCGACGCCGCGUGGAGGAAGAAGGUCUUCGGAUUGUAAACUCCUGUUGUUGGGGAAGAUAAUGACGGUACCCAACAAGGAAGUGACGGCUAACUACGUG